AGAGUUUGAUCCUGGUCAGAACGAACGCUGGCGGCAGGCCUAGCACAUGCAAGUCGAGCGGAUGAAGGGAGCUUGCUCCUGGAUUCAGCGGCGGACGGGUGAGUAAUGCCUAGGAAUCUGCCUGGUAGUGGGGGAUAACGUCCGGAAACGGGCGCUAAUACCGCAUACGUCCUGAGGGAGAAAGUGGGGGAUCUUCGGACCUCACGCUAUCAGAUGAGCCUAGGUCGGAUUAGCUAGUUGGUGGGGUAAAGGCCUACCAAGGCGACGAUCCGUAACUGGUCUGAGAGGAUGAUCAGUCACACUGGAACUGAGACACGGUCCAGACUCCUACGGGAGGCAGCAGUGGGGAAUAUUGGACAAUGGGCGAAAGCCUGAUCCAGCCAUGCCGCGUGUGUGAAGAAGGUCUUCGGAUUGUAAAGCACUUUAAGUUGGGAGGAAGGGCAGUAAGUUAAUACCUUGCUGUUUUGACGUUACCAACAGAAUAAGCACCGGCUAACUUCGUGCCAGCAGCCGCGGUAAUACGAAGGGUGCAAGCGUUAAUCGGAAUUACUGAGCGUAAAGCGCGCGUAGGUGGUUCAGCAAGUUGGAUGUGAAAUCCCCGGGCUCAACCUGGGAACUGCAUCCAAAACUACUGAGCUAGAGUACGGUAGAGGGUGGUGGAAUUUCCUGUGUAGCGGUGAAAUGCGUAGAUAUAGGAAGGAACACCAGUGGCGAAGGCGACCACCUGGACUGAUACUGACACUGAGGUGCGAAAGCGUGGAGAGCAAACAGGAUUAGAUACCCUGGUAGUCCACGCCGUAAACGAUGUCGACUAGCCGUUGGGAUCCUUGAGAUCUUAGUGGCGCAGCUAACGCGAUAAGUCGACCGCCUGGGGAGUACGGCCGCAAGGUUAAAACUCAAAUGAAUUGACGGGGGCCCGCACAAGCGGUGGAGCAUGUGGUUUAAUUCGAAGCAACGCGAAGAACCUUACCUGGCCUUGACUUGCUGAGAACUUUCCAGAGAUGGAUUGGUGCCUUCGGGAACUCAGACACAGGUGCUGCAUGGCUGUCGUCAGCUCGUGUCGUGAGAUGUUGGGUUAAGUCCCGUAACGAGCGCAACCCUUGUCCUUAGUUACCAGCACCUCGGGUGGGCACUCUAAGGAGACUGCCGGUGACAAACCGGAGGAAGGUGGGGAUGACGUCAAGUCAUCAUGGCCCUUACGGCCAGGGCUACACACGUGCUACAAUGGUCGGUACAAAGGGUUGCCAAGCCGCGAGGUGGAGCUAAUCCCAUAAAACCGAUCGUAGUCCGGAUCGCAGUCUGCAACUCGACUGCGUGAAGUCGGAAUCGCUAGUAAUCGUGAAUCGGAAUGUCACGGUGAAUACGUUCCCGGGCCUUGUACACACCGCCCGUCACACCAUGGGAGUGGGUUGCUCCAGAAGUAGCUAGUCUAACCGCAAGGGGGACGGUUACCACGGAGUGAUUCAUGACUGGGGUGAAGUCGUAACAAGGUAGCCGUAGG
rnacentral:rRNA from 1 species